AAGUCUUUAUUAAGUGCCUAUGCAAGUUACUGAGAAUACAAUGGUGAGAAAAACAGAUUGAGUCUUUGCACUCAUGAAGCUCACAGCCUAGUGGAGUAUAUACAUUAACCAAGUAAUCACACAUGUGUAUGUAUAAUUAUAAUGUCAUAUAAGUACAGAGAAGGACUAGAACACAGACAUUAAAAAGCAUAUACCAGAAGAUCAAGACACAUCCUUAAGGCAGUAGACAGGGACAGGAAAAAUUCCCUAAGGAAGUGAAAUUUGAGCUGAAAUAAGGAAAAGUAGAGUUACCUAGCCAAAAAAGACUAUAAAUAUCUUGUAAUCUCACUGCUACAGAAUGCCAUAGCUAAUGCACUGUGAUAUACCCUUCCAGCUGUUUUACUAUCCAUAAAUAAAUCUGUAUGUACAUAUAUGUAGAUAUAUUUUCAUGAAAUUGGAAUAAAUCUCAGUCCACAAAUUCAAGUGUUUAAGACAUCCAACUUUUAUUUUCUAUAGCAAUAUUCAUGAUUUCCAUUUUGUUGUCUCACUACAUGGGGGUGACUGAAAUCAGUCAAGAUCAGUUCAAGAUCUACCAUUUUCUCCAUGGUUGUGUUUAAGUUUGAGGAUGCUUAUAGAGUGCCUUACAAUUGUUGGAAGGAAGGAGUCCAUAUGGUUCCAGUGUCAUCUACAAAAUUCAACAUUCCCAUUCCUUCCUUGUGGCCCCUUCAGACGUGGUGGCUCUCUAUUUGCUUCUGGGUCAUCCUUGAUUGAUCAAGACUUUUUCUGCUGCGUCCUGCCAUUGCUAUGCUGGGACAUAGAAAGCUUGGUAAGACUCUAUACUAUCUGGCUGGGACUAAUAUAAAGCAGCCAUCUCCCACCCACAAAUGUAUCUUAAGAGAUAGGACCAUAAGUCACCUACACAAUCCAAUCCAAUAAACCUAUCUGAGAAGUUUCCAGUCAGUGGAAGUCUGAACUGACUUGGAAAACUUUCCUCUUCCCACCUGAAACUCACAGAAAUGAUAGAAUAUGCACCUCUCUAAAAGUAGUAAUACAGUCAAGCUCAUAAUAAUGAAAUGGAAUUCCCCAGAAAGCAAAGAAGGAACUAACAGUGAGCAGAAGAUAAAGACAAAUAGAUGGAUAUUGGUUUUAAGGGCCUGGGACUAGGGUUUUAAUCCUACCUAGUGACAGAAGGCAAUGUUUCUAGGCAGUGGAAGAUGGGAAGUUAGUACUGAGCUCCUGUCUAAACCCAGAUCCUACCGAGAAGCACAACCAGGACACAAAAUGAUGACUAGAAAACCUUUCCUCACAGGAAAAAUACUUUUUUGCUUAUCUUUUAUGUGAGGAUGUGGGUAGAUAAAGGGCCUUCUGGGAGCAAUUAGAACCCAGGCCAACUCCACCCAUAGGUGUGUGGUUGAAUUCACACUUCCUACAUGUUGGAUAACUAAAGGAUAUAAAUUAACAUAAAAAUAAUCUGGAACUGGUGAAAUGUGUAUGGUCCUAGCACAAGUAAACUCAAAAGCAAGGAGAUAAUUAAGACAUCCAAACAUAAAUCUCAAAAAAUUACCCAGAAUGGAGCCCAAAAAGAUGAAGUGAUACAAAAUAUAAAUGAGAAGCUAGACUACAUGGCAGAAAGAAUGAAAAGAAUUAAAAUAUGCCUGGAAGAAUUUCCAUAAAGAGAGACUAGAAAGAAUAAGGAAAAGGCAAUACAUGAAGAGAUUGUGGCACAAUUGAAGGAAGACAUGAAGACUCAUAUUGAACACACUGAGUCUUCAGCAGGCUGAAUACAAAUAAAACUGUAACCAGAUACAUCUCAGGGCAGAGCACCAACUAUAUCUAGUAUGAUAUUUUCAUAUGUUUGGGCUUCCAAACCCCUUCCAUAAAUUUUUCCUGAGGAAAAUGAAAAAAGUAAGAAAUAUUGUGGUAGAGAAGAACAAGACCACAGGUUUAUAUCUAAAACAUAAUGUUCUAUCAUAAGCAAAACAUAAUAUUCUAUCAUAUAAGCAUACAGGCAAAUAUGUAUAUAUUUAUAAUCCCCAGUGCAAUGUUAAAUCUCUACUUUAAGAUCAAAUAAGAAACCAUCUUCAAGGGAAGAAGGAAAUGGCACUCUCUUUCCAGUAUUCCAGUGAGAAAGUACUUCGAAAUGUUCAAUAAUUUUCAAUGUCUGUCACUCCAUCCAUUAGUAAAUAAUUGUAUGCUUUCUUCUUACUCUUGAGAGAUUUUCCUGGGAGACAUAAGCAGGAUGAGCCCAUUGGGAAAUGAUAUCGGCUGUUCAUCAAGCCAUGGUCUCUACACAACUUAUUUGCUUGCACUCUGCUUUCACCUAGACACUAAAUUCUGAGCACAGCUUUCUUACCCUACAACUAAAGUAAUCAACACAAAAUACAAUAGCUGGAACACUGUGCUAAUUUGAUACAUUACUGAUCUGCAAGGGGUUGGGGAGACAGAGAGAGAACAGGUAAAUGAUGGGUAACAGUUUCAAGACACUUUCUGAAAUUUUUUUAAUGUACUAUUAGAUAAGCAUCACUAGGUAUGUCUAAGAAACAGUGAAGGAAAUGUGAAUAUGGUGGAAAAAUAAACACAGAAUCAUAAAAUUGAUUUCAAACAAAUUUCAGUCAAAUCCCAGUCCUGCCUCCACAGGAUAGCUCCCAGAAGACCUUCCUUGGAGUUUUUGAUCCUCCAAAUUUCUCCAGUCCCUUGUAUCAUUUCCAUAAGUGACUAUUCAUAUCCAUUGCCUGUGAACUGCAAAUUUAUAUUAUCUCCCACUGAAAUAGAACAAUCAAAGGAAUCAGAUAUAAUCUUUAGCAAAAUAAAUAAUGAUACCACUGCAAAGACUAUAAUUAAAGCAAGAAAAGUAAUUUUGGGGACUGAAAAAUAAAAUUUUCAAAUUUAAAAACUCAGAUUAUAUGAAUAAGGAUAUAUAUUUUAAAAAUUAAAGAAUUUACAGGCACACCCUCUUAUCUUAACAAAAUUAGAAAUAAAUAAUAAAAGAGCACCAUAAAAUGUAACUGCCUGAUAAUAUAGUAUUGUCCUUUAAAAUAACCACUGGGUCAAAGAGAAAGUUAAAACUAAAAUUGCAAGCUAUCUGGAAAACAAAGAAAAAGGGAAUACAUCAUAUCAAAGCCUAUAGGGCAUGACUAAAGCUGUAUUCAGAGAAAAAAUAAAGUCUUAAUUACCAUUAUUAUUUAAGAAGAGCAUAAAUAAAGGAAAUAAACAUUCUUCUUUAAAAAUUAGAUAAGGAGGGGAUCCCUGGGUGGUGCAGCGGUUUGGCGCCUGCCUUUGGCCCAGGGCGCGAUCCUGGAGACCCGGGAUCGAAUCCCACGUCA
rnacentral:lncRNA from 1 species